AUUGAACGCUGGCGGUAUGCCUAACACAUGCAAGUCGAACGAGGUAGCAAUACCUAGUGGCGGACGGGUGAGGAAUACGUAGGGAUCUGCCCUUAAGUGGGGAUAACCCGGGGAAACCCGGAUUAAUACCGCAUGAUCUCGCAAGAGCAAAGAGGGGGACCGCAAGGCCUCUCGCUUUUUGGAGGAACCUACGUCGGAUUAGCUAGUUGGUGAGGUAAUGGCUCACCAAGGCGACGAUCCGUAACUGGUCUGAGAGGAUGAUCAGUCACACCGGAACUGAGACACGGUCCGGACUCCUACGGGAGGCAGCAGUGGGGAAUAUUGGACAAUGGGCGAAAGCCUGAUCCAGCAAUACCGCGUGUGUGAAGAAGGCCUUC
rnacentral:rRNA from 1 species